GAGACAUUAGUAAAAUAAUUACAAAAUCUUGUCAUGAUUAAAUUAUAAGUUAAAAUCUUAUACGUCUCU
rnacentral:tRNA from 1 species